UACCGAUGUUUCGCGAACAAGAAUCAGCUUUUUCAAACAAUUUCCAGCCCAGGCUGAUUGGUGACCAUUCCUCCAUGACCUGGGUGAUUUUUAUCAUCGUGAAGACAACAUGUUAAUUAUGUGGAGGUCCAGCCAAGUUCAGAGAGCUGUUCAGUGUGUUCAGACCAGUAAAUUCAAGGUGUCCCAAACAGAACGUCAGAGACAACCUUCAGUGGCGGAGCACCAUUACAGGGAUGUCACCCAAGAACAGCCUGGAACAAGUGUUCAGUCAAACAUCCAGCCAAGAUUUGUAUACGUUUUGUAGAUGUAAACAAUAGAAUCAAAUUGAUCUCCACCUUAAAUUGCCCGAGUGUACACAGCCUGUGUGAGGAGCAUUAUGGAGUAUGCAUCACCAGUAUAUGAACAGAGCUCCCCUUGUAUGUUCUCCGGUCCCUCGAUGCACUGCAGAGGAAAUGUCUCAGAAUGUUCCCUGACAUCCCCCUGGAGCCUUUGCAACUCCGAUGGGACCUUUCUGGCCUCUCCAUUAUACACCAGGCAGCAAAAUGUCCCACCCUUGCGAGAAACACCAACCUCCGAUACCCACAAGAUUGCUGCGUUGCUGUGUACGCCAUGUGGUACCCAGAACUGCACGUCAUCAGCGACCUUUCACACCGUACUAUACCAGACUCUGGAAUUCUCUCCUUGAGACUAUCGUUGGGAUCAAGAGUCAAUUCAGGGAAUCCCUCACAUGUUAUCUUUUUAACUAAGUGUGAGACUCAUUUUGAGUGUCACCCCAACUACACGUGUCUCUGGAAUAUAAAUAAAAACCUAUAGGAAUCAUCCUAUUUCCUUGUGGAAAAUUUAAAAAUUCUAACAAUGUUAUUGUUACUGCAAUAAUUAAGGAAUCUCAGUGCUUUUUAAUUCCCCUGAACUUAGUGCAUUUUUUUUAAUUUAAUGCAUUCCUUGAACUUAAUGCAUCACUUGAACUUAAUGCAUUCCUCGGACCCUCAUGCAUUCAUUGAACUUAAUGAAUUAAUUGAAUUUAAUGAAUUCAUUGAAUUUAAUGCAUUCAUUGAGCUAAAUGAAUUCCUUGGAUUUAAUGCAUUCCUCGAAUUUUAUGCAUUCCUAGAAUGUAACGCAUUCCUUAAACUUCAUGUAUUGUAUUCAUUUUAACUUAAUGAAUUCCUUGGAUUUAAUGCAUUCCUCGAAUUUAACGUAUUCCUCGAAUCUAAUGCAUUCCUUGAACUUAAUGACUUCCUUCAAUUUCAUUGUUUAUAUAACUGAACUUAUUGCAUUCCUUGAACUUAAUGUAUUACCUGUAUUGAACUUUAUGCAUUCCCUGAACUUGCAUUCAUUGAACUUAAUGCAUUCCUUGAAAUUGCAUUCCUUGAACUUAAUGCAUUUCUUGAACUUGCAUUCCUUGAACUUAAUGCAUUCCUUGAACUUGCAUUCCUUGAACUUAAUGCAUUCCUUGAAAUUGCAUUCCUUGAACUUAAUGCAUUCC